rnacentral:rRNA from 1 species
GCUUGCUCUCGGGUGACGAGUGGCGGACGGGUGAGUAAUGUCUGGGAAACUGCCUGAUGGAGGGGGAUAACUACUGGAAACGGUAGCUAAUACCGCAUAACGUCGCAAGACCAAAGUGGGGGACCUUCGGGCCUCAUGCCAUCAGAUGUGCCCAGAUGGGAUUAGCUUGUUGGUGAGGUAACGGCUCACCAAGGCGACGAUCCCUAGCUGGUCUGAGAGGAUGACCAGCCACACUGGAACUGAGACACGGUCCAGACUCCUACGGGAGGCAGCAGUGGGGAAUAUUGCACAAUGGGCGCAAGCCUGAUGCAGCCAUGCCGCGUGUAUGAAGAAGGCCUUCGGGUUGUAAAGUACUUUCAGCGAGGAGGAAGGGGGAAUGGUUAAUAACCAUUUUCAUUGACGUUACUCGCAGAAGAAGCACCGGCUAACUCCGUGCCAGCAGCCGCGGUAAUACGGAGGGUGCAAGCGUUAAUCGGAAUUACUGGGCGUAAAGCGCACGCAGGCGGUCUGUCAAGUCGGAUGUGAAAUCCCCGGGCUCAACCUGGGAACUGCAUUCGAAACUGGCAGGCUAGAGUCUUGUAGAGGGGGGUAGAAUUCCAGGUGUAGCGGUGAAAUGCGUAGAGAUCUGGA